GUGCCAGCCGCCGCGGUAAUACGUAUGGUGCGAACGUUGUUCGGAAUCACUGGGCAUAAAGAGCACGUAGGCGGUCGGGCAAGUCCAUUGUGAAAUCCCCCGGCUUAACCGGGGAACUGCAAUGGAUACUACUCGGCUAGAGUGUAGGAGGGGAGAGUGGAAUUCCUGGUGGAGCGGUGAAAUGCGUAGAUAUCAGGAGGAACGCCGGCGGCGAAAGCGACUCUCUGGUCUACUACUGACGCUGAGGUGCGAAAGCUAGGGGAGCAAACGGGAUUAGAUACCCCCGUAGUCC
rnacentral:rRNA from 1 species